UACGAGGGGGGCAAGCGUUGUUCGGAAUUAUUGGGCGUAAAGGGAGCGUAGGCGGUUUUGUAAGUCGUGUGUGAAAUCUUCGGGCUCAACCCGAAGUCUGCACACGAAACUGCAGGGCUUGAGUAUGGGAGAGGUGAGUGGAAUUCCUGGUGUAGCGGUGAAAUGCGUAGAUAUCAGGAGGAACACCUGUGGCGAAAGCGGCUCACUGGACCAUUACUGACGCUGAGGCUCGAAAGCUAGGGGAGCAAACAGG
rnacentral:rRNA from 2 species